GGUCCGCUGGCGUAAUGGCAGCGCGUCUGACUACGAUAAUUAUGAGUGCAUCGGACAUGAUUAAUACGGUAAUCAGGAGGUUCCAGGUUCGACCCCUGGGCGGAUCG